rnacentral:lncRNA from 1 species
AAAGAAAUAAAAGAUAGAAAAAGAGAAAUAGAAACAGAAUAGCUAAAAAGAAACAGAGAACAGACGAAAAAGAAAGAAAGGAAAGGGGAAAGAAAAAUAAAAGGGAAAACUAGGGAUUUGAAGCUUGAAGUUUAAUAGGUAAGUUUAAUCAAGUCCUUUUCUUUUAAUUUAAAUGUUUUAAAAGUUUUAAAACAAAGUUUUGUUGAAAAUAAGUUGAGGUUUUGGAAGUUUAUAGUUUUUUUUAGCAUGGUUCAUGUUGAAUAAAUUGUUAAAUUAGGGAUUUAUUUGAUAGAAAUUUUAUUUGGAAUAGAAUAAAGGAUUGAAUUGUAAACUAAACUAUAAGUUUUGAAUUUUAGGGAUUAAAUUGAAAUAAAUUCGAAAUUAUGAAAAUAUGAUAAAAAUUAGAUAGUUAAAUGUGAGUUUGGUAGGAAAUUAAGUAGUUAAAAGGUAUGAAUUGAGAAAGAAAAAUAUAUAGGUUAGUUAGGAUUAAAUUAGAAUUAAAGUAAAAGUUAGAUAAAAAUUUCAGCAAUUAAAUUGUUUUGUGCUAAUGAUUGUGAAAUUAUUUUAAUUGUUCGUAGCUAAUAUCGAGACUGAAGCAUCGGCCCAAAAAGGAAAAGAAAAGAUCGUCGAGGAUUAAAUCCGAAGAGAAUUCCGGUUUGUAUUACUAUAAUUCAAAUAUAUUUAUUAUUAAUUGUUAUAUUUUAAUUAAAAUGCAUGGUAAGUAGAAUUAGGUAAGCAAUUGAAAUGAUAGUAGUGAUUUGAAUUGAAUUAAAUUGAAUUGAAUGAUGGAAGUAUGUGAGUAGUUGAAAUGUAUAUUGAUGGAAAAGUAAUUAGUGAUUUGAAUUUGGUUGGAAAAUAAAUUUAAAAUAUGAAUUAAAUAAAGUGAAUUAAUUUAUGAAUAUGUGUGAAUAUGUGAAUUGUGUAUUGAUUGAAAAGUGGUUUGAAUUGAAUCAAAAAUAUGAUUAUAUGUGAUUAUUUGAAAUAUGUAUUGGUAUUAAAUUGUUGAUUGAUUAGAAAGUGGAAAAGUGAUCUUGAAUUGGAAAUGAAAGUGAAUUGAGAAUUUGAAUACCCUAUUAAUUAGUCGGGCUAAGUCGGAUAUAGUUGCCAUGCCAUAGGAUUUGGAAGAGUACGGGAUUUAUCGGCUUUGCCGAUCAGGCACUUUAUGUGUCGUACAUCAGGCACUUUAUGUGUCGUAUCAGACACCUCGUGUGUCGUUUCAAGCACUUAUGUGUCGUUUACUGAUCAAGUACUAUGUACCGUUUUAGGCACAAUGUACCGUACUGGUGUGUUUGGGUUGGAAUCCGUGUAUCUGUCAAAGUCCAGAUUGUUAAUAGGGUGAGUAAUUGAAAUGAGAAAAUCAAAUGAAUUUGAUUGAUUGUGGUAUUGAAUAUGAGAACAUUUAAAUUUGUGGAUUGAAAUUGAUAUUGAAAUGAAAGGUAUGAAUUUAAUGUUUAUGUAGUGAUUGAAAUUGCUACAUGUGAUAUGUGAUUGAGAUUGAAGAAUAGCUAAAAAUUGUAUUGUUAUUGUUGAAUAAUGAAAGUUUAUGAAUUAAUUGAUAUUUAAGAAAUCGGAUAGUUAUAUGCUUGGUAAUUAUAAUUCUUUAUUGCUAUUAUAAUUUGAAUUAUGGUAAUACCAUUGAGUAUAAAAUACUCAGCGUACGGUUGUUUCCGUGCGCAGGUUGAAAAAUGGGUCAGAGUCUCAGUCCAGCAUAAGAAUGAUUAUGGUUAUUUUGGUAUGUUAUAUAAUUUUGUUGUAAAGAAAGGUAUUUGAUGGUUUGAUGAUUAUAAUAGUAAAAUGGUAGAAGUUAUUUAUAGCAUUGGUAUUAAGUGGAAAUGACUUGAUUAGUUUUAUGAAUUAAUUAGAAAUGAUAAUAGGGUAUUUAUUAAUUAAGUUGUUAUGUCAAGUAUAAUUUAAGUAUAUAAAUGUAUUGGUUAAAUUACUGGGAUUGGUUUGGUUGCGAUUUGAAAUUUGCAGGGGUUUUUAUGUAAAAAUAAGCAGAAAUGCUACUGAAAUUUAUAAAAAAUAAAAAAUAAUAAAAAAAGAGAAUGAAGUCAAUUGUUAAAAUUUAUAUGAAUUAUGAUUUAUUUUAAUAUGUUGGUUAUUUAUUUAAGAAUUAUUUGUAAAUUAUUUGAUAUGUCCGAUAAUGCCUCGUAACCCUGUUUCGGCGACGGUUUGGGGUUAAGGGGUGUUACAGGACAUCUUUGAUAUGAAUGCAUA